AUCGAGACUAGAGUCACACCUCUGCACUCCUAGUGGCUUUGGUGUGCUAGAGUUUUCGAAGAGUAAUUGCUGAUCUUUAUUCUCUGGUUGGUUCUUCAUUGUAGCUCAACCAGACAACGGUACAGCAACAUCC